UUAGGGUUUUGAAUUCACCCUCAACCAAAUAAAAAUUUAGCCUAACAUAAUUGAAUUGGGAAUAAGAGAAUUAACAAAACCAAUCAUGGAGAUUAAUUCAAGCGGCUGCCUUUGGUUUAACUUAAUUCCAGCUGCUGGUUUUUUUCUUCUCCUUGCGGCUGCUGAUUUUCCUCUGCCCGAAUUGCGUCUGCCCUCCUCCCUCUCGCUCUCUGGCAGCUCUCCUUUUAUAAUGCUAGUUGACCGAAUUCUUCUCCAACAAGUCUAAAGAAAUCCUUUUUCAAUUCUAAUUGAAAUCCUUUUCCAAUUUAAUCUUUAUUCCUUCUCAAUUUGAACUUCUUCAUGUCCUUUUUAUCCACAAUCUCCAAUUAAUUCCCUAUUCAAUAAAAUAAUACAAUUAAUUAAAAAUAAUAAAUAAAAAUAACUAGUAAAUAUAUAAUAAAGGGUAAAAUAUGUAUAUUAAUUAAUUCCCUAUUCAAUUAAAAAUUAACUAAAAUAACUAGAAUAUUUAAGAUCAAAACAAGAAAAAGAUGGAGAAAUUAAUAACAAAAUAUAUGAAAAAUAUGCACUUAUCAGGAGUAAUAAAAUAAAUAAAACCAAUCAUGAAAAGCCGAAGUGCUGCUGCCGCUACCCUCUAUUCUCUCUGUCUCGCAUCCUCCCUUUUGUUUCCGUCCUCUGGCGGCUACCUCAUUCAAAAGCCAAAACUCUCUUUUUAUAAUGCUUAGCCACCGAAUCCUCUUUGUCUACUAAUUAAAAUCCUUUUUCAAUUAUAAAACAAAGCUUCCAUAAUAACGCCACCAUAAGACAUUAAUUCCACUUUUGAAAGUCAAGUGUGGGCCCCAUUUAAAUUGCUUUUCACUUUUGCAAUGACAUGCAUGUCUAACUCAAUUGGAGAAUUGAAAUUCAAUGCAAAUUGCUCUUGGCUCUUAACUCUGUCACGGCUUCAAUUAAUAUUCUCUUAAAUUGUUAUUUUUUUGCACUUUUUAUUUCCAAUCUCCAAUUAAUUUCCUAUGCAAUAAAAUAAUUCAAUUAAUUAAAAAUAACUAAUAAUUAAAUAAUAAACGAUAAAAUAUGUAUAUAAAUUAUGCAGAUCAUUGUUACAACCCAUCCGUUAACAAUAAAAAGCCAAGAACAGUCCAUGCCAAUAGUUAUGGUCGGUUAAAUCUAAGAAAUAAGCACGAAAGGUGAAAAGCAAGAGUCUUACAUUGAAAAAAAGGUUGGAUAAAAAUUGCGAGUACUGGAAAAUAAAUGCGAGUAGUGCUACCUUACGUUAAAUUUGCUGGCAAAUACACAAUCUUUCGCCUUUUUCGCUGUCAACCACUAUUUUCUUUCUCCAUUUGAAACAAAACACAACAAAGCUGCGUCCUUUGUGAUUCCAACUUCCAAGCAUCUACAUAUGUUCCACAUUUCCACAGUGCUUUGAUUGAAUUAAUUGAAUGUUUUCAUCUAAUCAAAAUCUCUCUAAUCAAUUGAACUGUUUCUUUAACGGCUUCAGGUACCAGCACCACAAUGAACACAUAAAUUUGAAGGGUCGUGUGGUGUCUUGCCGACUUAAUCUGUAAGGUAUGCGAGCCCAAGUCACCAGUUCAAG
rnacentral:lncRNA from 1 species